AUUACCUGGGUCUCUGAAUUACCAGUCCAGAGACUAUUUGGUCACCAUUUCCAUAAGGAUUGAUGGUUCAUAAUUCCUUAAGCUUGAACUGUAUUGCAAUUCUUGACUUCUCCUAAUUAAAGUCAGUUUUUCAUAAACUGAAAUCUUGCAAUGUGGAGGAGUAUUAAGAAUAGCUGCAGCUUCACUUGCAAUUUGAAGUGAUGAUACUCCCCCUUUACAUGCAGAUUUCUUUCAUUCACAGUUUGUGGGUUUCACUGAAAGAUGGAGUUUAUUGUCCUUGAGCAAGUGAUAGUUUGCCACCUCCUUCAAUGUACCACCUACUUUGUGGUGAGGCCAUAGUGGUAUUAGAUAUGAAGCUGCAGGACGUUGAAUCGGCAAUGUUUGAGAGAUGCUGUCUAAAGAGUCUUGCCCCAUUCAACACUCAAAGUAUUUGGAACAAUUCACCACUGCUGGAUUUCCAAAAUGGGGCAGCAUUUUGGAGCCUUCUUUAAAAGUCCAAGGCAUAACCGGACAGAGCUGCCCUGCAUGGUUCCUGAUGUUUGUCCUGGACUUAGCAAAGAAGGGAAAAUUGGCAAAUUGGUGACAUGGAUCUGCAGGUCUAGGUGGAUAGUGGGAUGCAGAGGUGGGACAUCCACUAAACUAAACCCUGGCAAAGCACUUCAUGCCAACCUGGUCCGAGAUUGCCACCUGGGCCAGAAUAGUCACGGCUGUCAA